rnacentral:ncRNA from 1 species
GAAAAUACUAUGACUGAGAUAAGUAUAUUAUGAAUUUUUCAAGAGAGAGAUCUUGUGUGCUGGAAGAGAUCUUAUGAUGAAAUAAUAGAAAAUUGCGCUUAGGAGUUCUUAAAUUGAAAUUAUUAGUAGGUUUAUGCGGGUACGACCGUUAAAACGUUGAUAUAUGAGUUAUUGCAUAGUGCAUUUUUUAUGCAAUAAACAGAGUGGAACCGUGGAAGAGUACUUCUGCCUCUGUA